GACGUAGGGCGCAAGCGUUGUCCGGAUUUAUUGGGCGUAAAGAGCUCGUAGGCGGCUUGUCGCGUCGACUGUGAAAACCCGCGGCUCAACCGUGUGGUCUGCAGUCGAUACGGGCAGGCUAGAGUCCGGAAGAGGAGAGUGGAAUUCCUGGUGUAGCGGUGAAAUGCGCAGAUAUCAGGAAGAACACCAAUGGCGAAAGCAGCUCUCUGGGACGGUACUGACGCUGAGACGCGAAAGCGUGGGGAGCGAACAGG
rnacentral:rRNA from 1 species